rnacentral:rRNA from 1 species
UUGGACCUUGCAGCGAACAGCAUGCCUGGCGAUCUUAGUCAAUGGAUAAUGAAGCAUUAUGAUCCAGAGAUGUCACAGAUAGUUAUUCCAGAGAGGGGGAAGAUUCCAGUAGAUGCUGCGAGUGUUCGGAGGAUAUGGGGUUUGCCAAAUAGGGGGAGAAAAGUCUGCUAUGAAAACCGCCCUGAGAUCACAAAGGCAAUGUUCAGGAUUUACAGUAUCACUUCAAAGAAUUCACCAUCUCUCACAACAUGGUGCAAGAUGAUCAAAGAUAUGGCAGGAGCUCACGAUGACGACUUCCUCCGCGCAUGGCUGUCUCUUGUUUUCUCUUGCUUCCUUGCACCAUCUACAAGUUUAAGCAUUUCACCAAAAAGCUUCCCUGCGGUCAUGGAUGUAAAUGGAAUAACUGAAACCAACAUAUGCUAG